UGUUUUUGGCAACUGGAAUCUUCAUCCUUCAAUCCUAAUUGUUUUUGUGAUUCUCUUGUCGAUUUGAGACUUUUGCUGAGUUUUCAAGCCCCUUUUUGCCUCAAAUCCGAUUUGCAUAUUUUUGAUAAUUGAGAAUCAGAGUUCGUGGUGAUUUAGUUCGUGGUGCUUAUGGCCUCUGCUGCUGGUGAUUUAGUUCUGGAUUGUUUUCAACUUUGGUAAACUUCAUCUUCUUCCUGCUUCAAUUUUCUUCCAUGGAAGUGAGCUUUAAGCUCUUUAAUGGUGGAUUUCGUUUUAGGAAGAAUUAGAACUCGAGCUAUACCUGUUGGGGUCGGAUUUCACCCAUCCUUUGAGACCGACCAAACUUCAACACCUCGGGUUAUCCUGCUAGUCAGCUCGGGUACCCUGCCAGUCAGCUCGGGUACCCUGCCAGUCAAUCUGCCAGUCAGCUCGGGUACCCUGCCAGUCAAUCUACCAGUCAGCUCGGGUACCCUUCCAGUCAGUCUGCCAGUCAGCUCGGGUACCCUUCCAGUCAGUCUGCCAGUCAGCUCGGGUAUCCUGCCAGUCAGUCUGCCAGUCAGCUCGGGUAUCCUGCCAGUCAGUCUGCCAGUCAGCUCGGGUACCCUGCCAGUCAGUCUGCAAGUCAGCUCGGGUACCCUGCCAGUCAGUCUGCCAGUCAGCUCGGGUACCCUGCCAGUCAGUCUGCCAGUCAGCUCGGGUACCCUGCCAGUCAGUCUGCCAGUCAGCUCGGGUACCCUGCCAGUCAGUCUGCCAGUCAGCUCGGGUACCCUGCCAGUCAGUCUGCCAGUCAGCUCGGGUACCCUGCCAGUCAGUCUGCCAGUCAGCUCGGGUACCUUGCCAGUCAGUCUGCCAGUCAGCUCGGGGUACACAGUCAGCUCGGGGUACACUGCCGAGCCUUAUACUGCAGUUACCCCGAGGCAAAGUCUCAGUGCUACCCGAGGCUCAGUGCUACCCAAGGCAAAGUCUCAGUGCUACCCGAGGUGAAAUGUGUAUUGUUCCCGAGGCGAAGUUUGCAAAGUCACCCGAGGCGAAGUCUUUAGUGUCACCCGAGGCAAAGUCUUCAGAGUGACCCGAGGCAAAGUCUGCAAAGUUACCCGAGGCGAAGUCUUCAUCAUCACCCGAGGCAAAGACUUGAUAAAUAUUCAUCAUCAAAGUAUCAUUUCCAAACAAGGCAUCAUUUCCGAAGGGUCAUUUCCGAUAAACCCGGAAAUGAUAAAGGAGAAUCACGAAGGAUCAACUUAAAUCAGGAAAUCUUCCAAAAACUCCGAAGAAUAAGGAAAUUAUCCUGAUCCGCGAUAUUCUACACCGACUUCAAGAUAAAUGGAAAUCUUCCGAGAAUAUCGCUGGAGAGGCGGUUUAUCACCCCUAUAUAAAGAGACUCAAGGCUCUCACAGAGGAAGAAGCAAUAUCGCUCUAGAAUUUACACUGCGCAAAGCUCUCACAGCACAAACACCUUUUUCUAUUACGAUCAAACUCUUGUACGAUCAAAAUCAUCUUUUCAUUAAUAAUAUCAAGAACACCAUCUUUGGUAUCAAUCGUUUUUGUUGUUCUUUGAGAAUUCACGAUUAUCGUAUCCCUAAAAUAAAACCCUAGACAAAUCUUGAUUGUGUUAGUUUCGACUUCCACAGUUUGGCGCCGUCUGUGGGGAUACUUUAGAAUUCUCUUACCCUAAGACGCAGAACUCGAUUACCGAAAAGGACGAUGAACGAAGACGGUCCUCAGACACCACCAGCCGGAGGAGGGAACCCUAAUCCUCCGAACCCUCAGAAUCCUCAAGCCGAUCCGACGAUCAUAGCGAGUCUAGCCGAACUGAAAGAUCUAAUGGUUAAAUUCCAGAAGAAAGCUGACGACCAAGAGAAAGCUAACAAAACCUUGGCGCAGCGAGUCGACGAAAUCGCAACACGUGGGCAACAAAAAACCACGGGUUUCCAGACUUGGCCGCCACGAGCUCGGAGGGACUUGCCUGGCAUCAACCCAACAAGACUCACGUUCGCGACGCCAACCGACAACACCAGAGUCGCAACCCGAGCCGACCCUGCCAGACGCGAGAACCAAGAUGAUCCAACCGAGCCAGACGCAGUGGACUUGACGGACGAGCCAGAUGAUCUGCAAGAUGAGCGUACCCGAGCCGGAGCUAACUCCGCCGAGCGAACAGAUCUCACUGACGAUGAAGAAACUGAGGAGAACAUAAGAUGGGCCGAAGAAUCCGAAAGGGAGGACGAGCUCAGCAAGAUCCGAGCCUCCCUAGCCAAGGCGGAAGCUGAUAUGAAGCUCGUUUAAACCCAGAUACAUAGCGUUUCAUCCUCUGCACCAAACAUCGACCGAAUUUUAGAAGAAUCUCGGAAUACGCCCUUCACCAAAAGAAUUUCCGAAACGACGAUGUCCAAUCUGGGGAAGUUCAAAAUCGACUCCUACAACGGAUCAACCGACCCGAAGUGUCACAUUAAAUCUUUCGUGAUAUCCGUAGCCCGAGCCAGGUUCAAGCCCGGGGAGAAGGAUGCUGGUCUAUGCUUACUAUUCGUGGAACACCUCAAGGGACCCGCAUUAGAGUGGUUUUCAAGAUUGGAACGAAACUCGAUUGACAGUUUCGACGAGCUGUCGACACUUUUCCUCAAGCAAUACUCCGUGCUCAUCGACCCCGGAACCUCCGAUGCAGAUCUGUGGUCUCUGUCUCAACAACCCACCGAGCCGUUAAGAGAUUUCCUCACAACUUUCAAAUCGACACUAGCCAAGGUCGAAGGAAUCACAGAUGUAGCCGCCCUCUCUGGUACAAGUCAGAAUUCAGAAAAGAGCUGAACCUAUCCAAACCUACUACAAUUCGCGACGCGCUGCACCGAGCCUCAGAUUUCGUCGCCUACGAAGAAGAACUGGAGCUACUAGCGAAGAGACACGAGCCGACAAAGCAAGCAUCCCGAACCGAGAAAGCCCAAACAGGACCGCAGAGCCAGAAGAAGCCGGAUCAGAGUGAAACAUACACGCACCACGAGGGGCACGUUUUCUCAGGAGCCCACAACUAUCAAGUCGACGUAGGCCGUGGGCAAGGAAGAGAUUCAUUCACUUGGACAAGAUGUCAACCCCUAGGUGACGAAAAAGAAUACUGCGAGCAUCACAAGACCAUCGGGCAUCACACUUCCAGAUGCAGGAGCCUCGGAGCAAUAUUAGCGGCCAAAUUUCUAGCCGGAGAGCUUGGGACGAACAUAACCCUCAAAGACCUACAGCCAGAACAAGUUUAGCCCAAACAGGUGGACACAGCAAGGGGUCCCGAGCCAAGGGAGCCAGAGGCUCCGAAGAGAAUCCGGGGAACACCCGACGAGGAGCGUGACGGAACACGACAAAGAAUCCACACGAUAAUGGGAGGAUCAGCGUUUUGCCCCGACACCGUAGCCGCGAUCAAAGCCUAUCAGAGACGAGCCGAAGCACCAAGCAACUGGUUAAGGCCAUUCGACCAACCUAACGAUGUAAUCAUGUUCAAAGAAAGUGAGACAAAUGGGCUCGACAUGCCUCAUAACGACCCUCUGGUCAUCACGCUUGCCAUCGGAGAUAACGACGUAUCAAGGGUGUUGAUCGACACCGGCAGCACUAUUGACGUAAUUUUCCGCGAGACGCUUCGGCAAAUGAACAUCAGCAUGUCGCAAGUAAACCAGACUCCGAGGCCAGUACUUGGAUUCUCUGGAGAAACCCUAAUGACACUCGGAACUAUUCAGAUACCAGUCCAGGCCAGUGGAAUAACAAAGAUAGUUGAUUUCUCUGUCACAGAUCAGCCGACCAUCUACAACGCCAUUAUGGGCACCCCAUGGUUAAACCUAAUGCGAGCUGUCUCCUCGACAUACCAUCUCUGCUUGAAAUUCCCGACGCCUAACGGUGUGAAAACGAUAUGGGGAAGCCAAAAGAAUUCCAGGAUGUGUUUCAUGGCAGCACAUAAACUUCGAAACAUCGUCGCCGAAUCUAAAGUCGAGGUCAAUCAUAAAAAGGCGAAGAUUGGCCGAAGCAAGGAGAAGUACCUUGCAGAAAAGAAGGCGGCCGUAGAGAAGAAAGCUCUGGAGGCCGUUCUCGGAACUCAUGCUCCUCCCAAAGCGACCGAUGAGCCUAAGGUGGAGAUGACGAAUCCUAACCCCAUUGCCGUCACAACUGGUCCCGAGGAGGCCGAGACUAUCCCAGUUGUGGAAACACCUCAGGAAAUACUACCGCUAAAAACCUAAGGUACGUAUAAGCUUGAACUACAGGGUGGCUUGAUCCCCGAAAAGGGUACGUAGGCAGCUCGUCCUCGGACGAGUUCAGCUACCUCCCCUUAUCAAAAAGGGGGGGGGAGAGUGGGGUCCGUAUAUCCAUACUCCCACUCAAACUUUAUCAAUUAUACGUUUCCUAUACUCCUAUUCAAAUUUUAUCAAACUAUAUUUCUAAGUAUACACUUCGAGUUUUUAUCCGAUCAAAUCGACCUCGGUCUUUACCCCGAAACUCGCCUCGGGAAAUCAACACGGUCUAAACUCCGUUCGGUUCGUUUGGGCGAUGGCCACGCCCGCGAACUAAAUUCAUCUACACCUCCACGGUUACAGCGCGCUAUAUAAGCAUUCGAGACAAUCUGGUCGAAGAUAUCCGACCAAAGAUGAAAUUGUCUUCAGAAACCCCAGUAAAAUCUUAACACUGGUGCCCCAGUUCGCUUCUAAGCACUGGUUAUCGAUUGAAUCGAAUCGGGUCGCGACCGUGAACGUUCAAAUCUUUCUGCUAAAACCCAGUUUAUCUUAACACUGGUACCCAUCUUUCGCUCCGGCUGCUAAAACCCAGUUUAUCUUAAGACUGGUACCUAUCUUUCGCUCCGGCUACUAAAACCCAGUUUAUCUUAACACUGGUAUCUAUCUUUCGCUCCGGCUACAUAAAUUUUUUUUUUACUUAGGACAAAAAGAUGUUUUGAUACGGAAACUAUUCAAAAUCAUUGUAUUCUCUUCGAAGACAAGGAUCUUUGAAAAUAGCGUUUGUAUUUACUUUGCAAAAAUACAACGACAAAGUCAUCCAUGCACAAUCUUACACUACAACCAAAAAAGAAGAAAAAGGACGGUUCUAAGAGUGCCGCCUCAGGUUCACUGGCGACUCGAUGCAGAAAUUAACAGCUCGGUCAAAUCAUUCAUGAAGCUCGUCACACUUGCUCCCAAGUCAACGAGCUGGGGGGCUAACUGUUGGGGUCGGAUUUCACCCAUCCUUUGAGACCGAGCCAAACUUCAACACCUCGGGUUAUCCUGCUAGUCAGCUCAGGUACCCUGCCAGUCAAUCUGCCAGUCAGCUCGGGUACCCUGCCAGUCAAUCUGCCAGUCAGCUCGGGUACCCUGCCAGUCAAUCUACCAGUCAGCUCGGGUACCCUUCCAGUCAGUCUGCCAGUCAGCUCGGGUAUCCUGCCAGUCAGUCUGCCAGUCAGCUCGGGUAUCCUGCCAGUCAGUCUGCCAGUCAGCUCAGGUACCCUGCCAGUCAGUCUGCCAGUCAGCUCGGGUACCCUGCCAGUCAGUCUGCCAGUCAGCUCGGGUACCCUGCCAGUCAGCUCGGGUACCCUGCCAGUCAGUCUGCCAGUCAGCUCGGGUACCCUGCCAGUCAGUCUGCCAGUCAGCUCGGGUACCCUGCCAGUCAGUCUGCCAGUCAGCUCGGGUAUCCUGCCAGUCAGUCUGCCAGUCAGCUCGGGUACCUUGCCAGUCAGUCUGCCAGUCAGCUCGGGGUACACAGUCAGCUCGGGGUACACUGCCGAGCCUUAUACUGCAGUUACCCCGAGGCAAAGUCUCAGUGCUACCCGAGGCUCAGUGCUACCCGAGGCAAAGUCUCAGUGCUACCCGAGGUGAAAUGUGUAUUGUUCCCGAGGCGAAGUUUGCAAAGUCACCCGAGGCGAAGUCUUUAGUGUCACCCGAGGCAAAGUCUUCAGAGUGACCCGAGGCGAAGUCUGCAAAGUUACCCGAGGCGAAGUCUUCAUCAUCACCCGAGGCAAAGACUUGAUAAAUAUUCAUCUUCAAAGUAUCAUUUCCAAACAAGGCAUCAUUUCUGAAGGGUCAUUUCCGAUAAACCCGAAAAUGAUAAAGGAGAAUCACGAAGGAUCAACUUAAAUCAGGAAAUCUUCCAAAAACUCCGAAGAAUAAGGAAAUUAUCCUGAUCCGCGAUAUUCUACACCGACUUCAAGAUAAAUGGAAAUCUUCCGAGAAUAUCGCUGGAGAGGCGGUUUAUCACCCCUAUAUAAAGAGACUCAAGGCUCUCACAGAGGAAGAAGCAAUAUCGCUCUAGAAUUUACACUACGCAAAGCUCUCACAGCACAAACACCUUUUUCUUUUACGAUCAAACUCUUGUACGAUCAAAAUCAUCUUUUCAUUAAUAAUAUCAAGAACACCAUCUUUGGUAUCAAUCGUUUUUGUUGUUCUUUGAGAAUUCACGAUUAUCGUAUCCCUAAAAUAAAACCCUAGACAAAUCUCGAUUGUGUUAGUUUCGACUUCCACAAUACCUUGUUAGAAAGCUCUCGUUCAUACGGAUCCAACGCCACUAAGAUCUCAUCAAACGGAAGUCGGAAUUGAUCGGAAUUUGAUUGGUAAAUAUUUCAAUUUUGUUGAUUUAUAGUCGAAUCGGGAUUUAUUUGAUUGGUAAAAACCAAUUUGAAACCGGUUUUGGGAUGACCUGUAUAUGUAGAAUACUUCUUGAAAUCUAAUUUUGAAUUGGUUGAGUUAUGAAUUUUAACCGAUCGUAAUUAUGACCGGUACGGCUGCUUUUAUACCGGUUUUGGAAAAGCUGAUACGUGAUUAUGAUUUACCUUGAAAUUAUCUUUCCUAUGGUUUAUUGUACGGAUUUUUCUGAUAGAAGGUUGAAUUUAGGUGAAUUAAUUGGUGUUUUGGACGUGUCUAGAAUAUUUAGUUUAGUACGAAAAUUUGUCCAGGUGAGUUCUAACUCCCUCAUUAGUUAUUAUACAUUUGUAUAAUAUUUAGGAAUAU
rnacentral:lncRNA from 1 species